GACUACUACCACAUCUCGAAACAGUUUCUUUCUUCCAAUUAACCAAACGGAAUCCAUUGCUGAGACUCGCCUGCUUUGGAAUGUGUAAGAAGUGAGCUUCAAGUAGCAAAUUUGAUGACGUCAUCAACCUGUUUUUUUUUGACAAAGGGAGAGAACUUUCUGUUAGAAUGUUCAAUGCUUUAUCUCCUAACCAACCUAGCAUCAGAGGAAGUUGUUCUUACAUAACGAAUCUGGAGAAAUGAAGAGAGAGAAGAGUUUAAGAAAGUCACUCACAGUUUGGUCUUCUUCUUCUUCGAUUUGGGAACAAAGGCUGUGCGUGUUUUUCUUCUGCCGGGGGUUUGAUAUGAUAAGUAGGGUUUAUCCUUAAUUUAAAGAGUACACCCUCUAUCUCUUUACAAUUUUUGUUUUAUUCCCAUUAUUUAUGAAACAUUCAACAUUCACUACUAUUUAUCCUUUAUUUACAGAAUACACCCUCUAACUCUCUAUAAUUUCAUUUAAUUCCCCACUAUUUUUCCUUUUUUGGUUACUAAUCAAAAUGGAAGAAAUGAGUGACAAAUUCAAUUCAAAUUUCAUUGAGAUAUCAAUCAAUCCUUGAAGUUUUAAGUAAAAAGGAACUUGGACAAACAACAUUUAU